AUUGGUGUCGUAGGCUACACGGGGUGAAGAAAAGGGAUAAGAAAAUGAAGUCAGCGCAAGAGAUUUCAUUGCCUAUUCCUUGAACUUUUUCAUGUUUUAGUUGCAGCUUAUUGGUGCAUUAUUGGCUGUAGGUUGGAGCUGGGACUAUGAAUCCUCUGACAUUUCUAAGAAGAGAAGAAGUUCGUGACUUCAAUGACUUCAAUGACUGUGCUUAGUUUGUAAUUUGUAAUUCAAUAAGUUUCUAAAUUUAUGAUUGUAUUUAGUGAAAAAUUUGUAGGCCUUUUUUUAUUAUGAUAAUGUGAAAAAUUAUGGUCAAUUAUAGGCAUGAA